rnacentral:rRNA from 1 species
CGAUUUCCGAAUGGGGAAACCCAGUGUGUUUCGACACACUAUCAUUAACUGAAUCCAUAGGUUAAUGAGGCGAACCGGGGGAACUGAAACAUCUAAGUACCCCGAGGAAAAGAAAUCAACCGAGAUUCCCCCAGUAGCGGCGAGCGAACGGGGAGGAGCCCAGAGCCUGAAUCAGUGUGUGUGUUAGUGGAAGCGUCUGGAAAGGCGCGCGAUACAGGGUGACAGCCCCGUACACAAAAAUGCACAUAUUGUGAGCUCGAUGAGUAGGGCGGGACACGUGGUAUCCUGUCUGAAUAUGGGGGGACCAUCCUCCAAGGCUAAAUACUCCUGACUGACCGAUAGUGAACCAGUACCGUGAGGGAAAGGCGAAAAGAACCCCGGCGAGGGGAGUGAAAAAGAACCUGAAACCGUGUACGUACAAGCAGUGGGAGCCUCUUAAUGGGGUGACUGCGUACCUUUUGUAUAAUGGGUCAGCGACUUAUAUUCUGUAGCAAGGUUAACCGAAUAGGGGAGCCGAAGGGAAACCGAGUCUUAACUGGGCGUUAAGUUGCAGGGUAUAGACCCGAAACCCGGUGAUCUAGCCAUGGGCAGGUUGAAGGUUGGGUAACACUAACUGGAGGACCGAACCGACUAAUGUUGAAAAAUUAGCGGAUGACUUGUGGCUGGGGGUGAAAGGCCAAUCAAACCGGGAGAUAGCUGGUUCUCCCCGAAAGCUAUUUAGGUAGCGCCUCGUGAAUUCAUCUCCGGGGGUAGAGCACUGUUUCGGCAAGGGGGUCAUCCCGACUUACCAACCCGAUGCAAACUGCGAAUACCGGAGAAUGUUAUCACGGGAGACACACGGCGGGUGCUAACGUCCGUCGUGAAGAGGGAAACAACCCAGACCGCCAGCUAAGGUCCCAAAGUCAUGGUUAAGUGGGAAACGAUGUGGGAAGGCCCAGACAGCCAGGAUGUUGGCUUAGAAGCAGCCAUCAUUUAAAGAAAGCGUAAUAGCUCACUGGUCGAGUCGGCCUGCGCGGAAGAUGUAACGGGGCUAAACCAUGCACCGAAGCUGCGGCAGCGACACUAUGUGUUGUUGGGUAGGGGAGCGUUCUGUAAGCCUGUGAAGGUGGCCUGUGAGGGUUGCUGGAGGUAUCAGAAGUGCGAAUGCUGACAUAAGUAACGAUAAAGCGGGUGAAAAGCCCGCUCGCCGGAAGACCAAGGGUUCCUGUCCAACGUUAAUCGGGGCAGGGUGAGUCGACCCCUAAGGCGAGGCCGAAAGGCGUAGUCGAUGGGAAACAGGUUAAUAUUCCUGUACUUGGUGUUACUGCGAAGGGGGGACGGAGAAGGCUAUGUUGGCCGGGCGACGGUUGUCCCGGUUUAAGCGUGUAGGCUGGUUUUCCAGGCAAAUCCGGAAAAUCAAGGCUGAGGCGUGAUGACGAGGCACUACGGUGCUGAAGCGACAAAUGCCCUGCUUCCAGGAAAAGCCUCUAAGCAUCAGGUAACAUCAAAUCGUACCCCAAACCGACACAGGUGGUCAGGUAGAGAAUACCAAGGCGCUUGAGAGAACUCGGGUGAAGGAACUAGGCAAAAUGGUGCCGUAACUUCGGGAGAAGGCACGCUGAUAUGUAGGUGAAGCGACUUGCUCGUGGAGCUGAAAUCAGUCGAAGAUACCAGCUGGCUGCAACUGUUUAUUAAAAACACAGCACUGUGCAAACACGAAAGUGGACGUAUACGGUGUGACGCCUGCCCGGUGCCGGAAGGUUAAUUGAUGGGGUUAGCGGUAACGCGAAGCUCUUGAUCGAAGCCCCGGUAAACGGCGGCCGUAACUAUAACGGUCCUAAGGUAGCGAAAUUCCUUGUCGGGUAAGUUCCGACCUGCACGAAUGGCGUAAUGAUGGCCAGGCUGUCUCCACCCGAGACUCAGUGAAAUUGAACUCGCUGUGAAGAUGCAGUGUACCCGCGGCAAGACGGAAAGACCCCGUGAACCUUUACUAUAGCUUGACACUGAACAUUGAGCCUUGAUGUGUAGGAUAGGUGGGAGGCUUUGAAGUGUGGACGCCAGUCUGCAUGGAGCCGACCUUGAAAUACCACCCUUUAAUGUUUGAUGUUCUAACGUGGGCCCCUUACCGGGGUUGCGGACAGUGUCUGGUGGGUAGUUUGACUGGGGCGGUCUCCUCCUAAAGAGUAACGGAGGAGCACGAAGGUUGGCUAAUCCUGGUCGGACAUCAGGAGGUUAGUGCAAUGGCAUAAGCCAGCUUGACUGCGAGCGUGACGGCGCGAGCAGGUGCGAAAGCAGGUCAUAGUGAUCCGGUGGUUCUGAAUGGAAGGGCCAUCGCUCAACGGAUAAAAGGUACUCCGGGGAUAACAGGCUGAUACCGCCCAAGAGUUCAUAUCGACGGCGGUGUUUGGCACCUCGAUGUCGGCUCAUCACAUCCUGGGGCUGAAGUAGGUCCCAAGGGUAUGGCUGUUCGCCAUUUAAAGUGGUACGCGAGCUGGGUUUAGAACGUCGUGAGACAGUUCGGUCCCUAUCUGCCGUGGGCGCUGGAGAACUGAGGGGGGCUGCUCCUAGUACGAGAGGACCGGAGUGGACGCAUCACUGGUGUUCGGGUUGUCAUGCCAAUGGCACUGCCCGGUAGCUAAAUGCGGAAGAGAUAAGUGCUGAAAGCAUCUAAGCACGAAACUUGCCCCGAGAUGAGUUCUCCCUGACUCCUUGAGAGUCCUGAAGGAACGUUGAAGACGACGACGUUGAUAGGCCGGGUGUGUAAGCGCAGCGAUGCGUUGAGCUAACCGGUACUAAUGAACCGUGAGGCUUAACCUUACAACGCCGAAG